rnacentral:rRNA from 1 species
AACGAACGCUGGCGGCAUGCCUAACACAUGCAAGUCGAGCGAGCCGUUCGGGGCUCGGCGCGCACGUGUGCGUAACGCGGGGGAACCUCCCCUUAUGUUGGGCAUAACUCGCCGAAUGGGGUGCUAAUAGCGGAUAAUGUCUUCGGACCAAAGAUUUAUCGCCUUUGGAUGGGCCCGCGUUGGAUUAGCUAGUUGGUAGGGUAAACGCCUACCAAGGCGACGAUCCGUAGCUGGUCUGAGAGGAUGAUCAGCCACACUGGGACUGAGACACGGCCCAGACUCCUACGGGAGGCAGCAGUGGGGAAUAUUGGACAAUGGGCGCAAGCCUGAUCCAGCCAUGCCGCGUGAGUGAUGAAGGCCUUAGGGUUGUAAAGCUCUUUUGCCCGGGAAGAUAAUGACAGUACCGGGAGAAUAAGCCCCGGCUAACUCCGUG